GACGAACGCUGGCGGCGUGCCUAACACAUGCAAGUCGAACGGACUUGAAGGGAGCUUGCUCCCGACAAGUUAGUGGCGGACGGGCGAGUAACGCGUGAGCAACCUGCCCUUCAGUGGGGAAUAACGACUGGAAACGGUCGCUAAUACCGCAUAACAUACUUUUGUGGCAUCGCAGGAGUAUCAAAGGAGCAAUUCGCUGAAGGAUGGGCUCGCGUCCGAUUAGCUAGUUGGUGGGGUAACGGCCUACCAAGGCGACGAUCGGUAGCCGAACUGAGAGGUUGAUCGGCCGCAUUGGGACUGAGACACGGCCCAGACUCCUACGGGAGGCAGCAGUGGGGGAUAUUGCACAAUGGGGGAAACCCUGAUGCAGCAACGCCGCGUGAGGGAAGAAGGUCUUCGGAUUGUAAACCUAAGUUGUCAGGGACGAACAAAUGACGGUACCUGAAAAGGAAGCUCCGGCUAACUACGUG
rnacentral:rRNA from 1 species